CCUGAAACCACUGACUCCCUGGUCACUAUCCUCCCAGGAAGACUUCAUUGUUAGGUCCUGGCAUCUCCAUCUAGCCACUGGUGUAAUCAGCUGGGGUCACUGUCCCCUAAGAGGCCCUGGGCAGGCCCUUCUGGUCACAUGAAGCCUGCAAACCUCAAGCUCCUAAGGACCUGAAUGCAUUCCAAGAGGCUGACCUAGCAGCCCCAGAGCUCCAGCUGAAGGCCUGGCAGUCCCGGAGGUACUACAUUGCUGGGCAGAGGACACAAGGCAUUUCCAAGGCAGCUUGGCCUCCUGCCAGUGGGUCCCCAGAUGCCAUGCAAGACACACCUGAACGAGGGAGCAUCAGAGGAUCCAAAGCAUCUAGAAGAUGCAGGCUAGCUUCCCCUCAUGCCUCAAUAAAGCCAUGAAACACAGCAACUUGAGAUGCAAGGGGCGAUUCUGUCCCACUUGGAGAAAGCUAGUCAGUAAGAACAAAGAGAACACAGGCCCAGACUGGGAGUCCUCAGAGAAGGCAAGAGGGCCACAGUGUCCUGCAGGAGCACCAGGCAAGGGAAGAAAUACCCUAACUGCUGAUGGUUUUGACAUCACUGCACCGGCGAUCCAGGAGAAAAGACCAUUGCUUGACUGGGGCAGAAAACCGCUCUGAGCAAGAUAAGGAACGAUAAGGUUUUCUGGAAACUUCCUGUGAGAACCUUUGUUCCAGUCCAGCCUCUUCCUCACUGACGAGCACGACCCACUGCAUACUGCACAGGUGGGAAAGACAGAUCUCUCUCCAACCUUCGUCUAUCACUUGGAGACUGUGCUGGGUUUUAAUACAGGCACUCUGGCUCCUGGCAUGUGCCUGGCUCUAUGACACUAUCAGAAAAAGAAGGGUCACUUUUUUCUGGAAAGAAGACCUGGCUACUCUGCAAAUUCCUCCUGUCUCUUCUAGGAGACCACCUCACCUCCACUUCCACUCCUCUACGCAAUGAAGGACUCCAGGGCCAACCAGUGUGGGGCAGGACCACGAGCGGGAAGGAGGGAGGAACCGACUGAGAAUGAGACUUGAAAGCACAUCAGUGAGAAGCCGAAAAGUUUUCUAUUUGAACUAUGACAAGUCUCUAGAAGAAGGGACGGUGUCUAAAUAGACAUGCUCACUUCUCUCUAAUGAAGACAGCCUCAUGUCAUCAUUGCAGAUCAACACUUUUCCUUGGAAGUAGUUAGAAGACUCUUCUCUCUGGACUCCAUGAUGGCUCCACCCACCCACAUGGCCCUCCAACCCACUUGUCUUCUGAAGUGAGGAUGUAAUGUGGAGUUGAGAUAGAGGGGCGGGGAACUAGCUCCACGAAUGUCCCUUUGGUGGGCAUCUUUUCCCCAAUUACUCAAUCCCUUUGACUUUCCAUGGGAUUAAGACAGCACCAGUGUUCUGGCUUGAAUGUGAAAUAUGCUUCACAGGAUUGCUUUUUGAAAGCUUGCUUGUUCCCCAGUGAGGAGCAAACUGUGGGAAGUGU
rnacentral:lncRNA from 1 species